GGCCGGGGGCGGGGCCAGAGAGGGCGAGGCCGCGGGCGCGCACCCUGUGGCCGCCUGAUAGGGUGCGCGGCGGUACGAGCACGCCCCGCGAGAGGCGCUGCCUAGUGACUGCGCAGGCGCAGCACGGUGGCUAGUCCCUGCUUCCCUCUCGCAUUCCCGGGGUCUCCCAGCGAACUACUCCGGGUAACCUCUGCGUGGAGUUUGUUGGGAGUGGGGCGCUAGAGAAUCUUGGCGCAGCGACGGGCGUAGGUGGUCAUGUUUUCUUGUGUAACUACAGCUCGUAGACAUAUAUAAAAUAAAGGCCAGCGUCAUUUAAUAGGUUCUUUGUAAAACUUGAAAGCCUCCUGGAGUGCUCGCUUUAGUGGGCCGGCCAUGACAAGAGAAAUAUUACUGCUGCAUCCCAGUUUCUUUAAGCAGGAAAAAUUGGCGUUAGAGCAGGAGUUCGAAAUGGAAAAGCUGACAAGCUACUCGGGUUGGAAUGAUAUAAUCGUCCUUCCGGGGCGAGAAAAGGAAGGGUGAGGAACACCUGGGCGCAGAGAAUCUCCCCGCGAAUGGAAGGUUCGCUGCUGUGCUCUGCGCGUAGAACCUGCUCCAGGCCUUUGCGGUCCUUGGGAAUCCUGGAGACUCCAAGAACUCCAUGCACAGGAGGCGGGGCCCCUCCCUGCCGCCAAGUGGUACCACCUUGUCGAAAAUCCAAAGAUGGUGAACCCCUCCUGAACCUUGCAUUUUCUUUUCAUUUGCCUUAUCCUUUUUCUUCUACCCGCAACAGUGUUUCUCUUUUUGGAGGAGAGGAGUGCGGGGGCGGGUACUGGAGAUUGAACUCGGGAGAGCUUAACCACUGAGCCACAUCCCCAGCCCUUUUUAUUUUGAGUCAGGAUCCCACUGAAUUAUUUAGGGCCUCGCAAAAUUACUGAGGCUGGCUCUGAACUUGCGAUCCUCUUGCCUCAGCUUCUAGAGUCACUGAGAUUACAGUUGGAAAAUACGUGCUUCUGACCUCAGUAUGCUCCAUCACUACAGCAUGCCUAGGAUGUGAUCUCAAAGUGGUUGAACCUGGUGAGCUGGUUCAGCUUGAAAAAGUAUUAAACUCUGGGACAUCUGGAAAGCAAGAAACAAGGAUUCAGAGAGAAUUUGAAGCCACAGUUUUACACACAACCCCACCGUCACCAGAAUGUUGGUUUAUUUGAUAUGUAAUUAAAAUGAGUCUUUGGGGAAGUUCCAGUCAUCAUGUUUCAGUCUCAAAUUCUUCAAAGACUUGUCUUGCCCAGUGUGGUCUCUCACACCUGUAAUCCCAGCUACUCAGGAGGCUGAGGCAGAAAAAUGGCAAGUUCCAGGCCAUUUAAUGAGACCCAGUCUCAAAAAAAGAAGCUGUGGGUGCAGCUUCUUAAUACAGCACCCCUGAGUUCAAUCUCGAGUGCAAAAAAAAAAAAAAAA